rnacentral:rRNA from 1 species
GAUGAACGCUGGCGGCGUGCCUAAUACAUGCAAGUCGAGCGAACGGACGAGAAGCUUGCUUCUCUGAUGUUAGCGGCGGACGGGUGAGUAACACGUGGAUAACCUACCUAUAAGACUGGGAUAACUUCGGGAAACCGUAGCUAAUACCGGAUAAUAUUUUGAACCGCAUGGUUCAAAAGCGAAAGACGGUCUUGCUGUCACUUAUAGAUGGAUCCGCGCUGCAUUAGCUAGUUGGUAAGGUAACGGCUUACCAAGGCAACGAUGCAUAGCCGACCUGAGAGGGUGAUCGGCCCCCCUGGAACUGAGACCCGGUCCAGACUCCUACGGGAGGCAGCAGUAGGGAAUCUUCCGCAAUGGGCGAAAGCCUGACGGAGCAACGCCGCGUGAGUGAUGAAGGUCUUCGGAUCGUAAAACUCUGUUAUUAGGGAAGAACAUAUGUGUAAGUAACUGUGCACAUCUUGACGGUACCUAAUCAGAAAGCCACGGCUAACUACGUG